CUACGGUAAAUGGUGCUUCGGAUAACUGUUGCCUCACGGUGGACGCCCUUUGGGUGUGCCAUUGUGACCGAAUAGCGCUUGCGGCGUUGCCUCGUACAACAGCCAUAUAAUGUGCAUGUUGAUAUCACGGCAACCUCGCUCUCGCUUUUGGUCUAGGAUGCUGCUCACGAUAAAGGCUCGAGGCCCUUCGGGUUGCCUCGAUCCGAAACAAUGUUCUCUCUCYGAAAUGGCGACAACCGUGUUCAUGUCUUGCCUCUACCUUCCACAGUUACGUGGUAGGAUACGCAACCCUAUGGAUCCGGCCCUCAUGGAGGAAGAGACAUGCUUUCUCCGAAAUGGCGACAACCGUGUUCAUGUCUUGCCUCUACCUUCCACAGUUACGUGGUAGGAUACGCAACCCUAUGGAUCCGACCCUCAUGGAGGAGGAGACAUGCUCUGUCUGAAAUGGCGACAACCGUGUUAAUGUCUUGCCUCUAUCUCUCCCCA
rnacentral:misc_RNA from 1 species